UGAGAUAACUCAAGGAAAAAAGAGAGGAAAGUCAAAAAGCCGGCAAGUUACUUAAACAAGAAAAUGAUUGGAUUUUUUUCAAUAUGACAGUUGACACGUUCCACUAUUUGGGAAGAUUAAAUUUACCAAUGGAACAAGAAAUGAAAGAAAGAACAACACAUUCUGUCUAAAUGAUUACAGAUAAAAGCAUCAUGGGAAUUCAAAGACUAACACACAAAAUCUUUUCAUCAAUAAGUUACAUUAGUGCAUCACAACUUUUGCUGUGUUUUCUAAUUCUUUUGUGUGUCAAGGUAACUGCAGGUUCAUAUGGUGACAGAUCAUACAUAUUCAUGAAAUGUGUUAGUAACUGUGGCAAUAAAAACUGUACCAGCCAAUCAAAGUUCUUGUCUGCUCAGCCAUGGUAUCUUACAGUGUUACAGUGGUCAUGUAAAGAUGAAUGUAGAUACCAGUGUAUGUGGAAAACUGUAGAUGCCUUUCACAAGGAUGGGCUGAGUGUUCCACAGUUCCAUGGGAAAUGGCCAUUUGUACGACUGUUUGGGAUACAGGAGCCAGCGUCAGUGUUGUUCUCUGUACUUAAUGGACUAGCCCACCUGCGUAUCCUGUCCUACAGAAAACAAGUAUCUCCCAAAGUUCCUUUAUAUUAUAUCUGGCAUCUCUAUGCCUUAGUAGCAUUUAAUGCUUGGUUUUGGUCUACAGUUUUUCAUACAAAAGAUACAGAUUUUACAGAGAAAAUGGAUUAUUUCUGUGCGUUUUCUGUAGUACUCAGUAACUGUUAUGUUGUAUUAUGUAGAUUAUAUGGAACAAGUCCAGUGCGCCGUCCUCUCAUUUUUGCAGCAUUAGUCAUUGCCUUAUACACUUACCAUAUCUACUACCUUGCCUUUGUUCAUUUUGAUUAUGGAUAUAACAUGCAAGUAAAUAUCGUUUUUGGGGCAUUAAACUUUACUGGAUGGAUGCUUUAUGCUUACAGAGAAGGAAUAAAAAAACGUUAUGUACAAAAAUGUAUGCUAGCUAUGUUUGGUUUGACAUUCCUUAUUUUAUUAGAACUGCUGGAUUUUCCUCCAUUAUUGUGGAUUUUUGAUGCUCAUUCAAUGUGGCAUGCAGGUACAAUACCUGUAUGUUACCUUUGGUACAGUUUUGUUAUAGAAGAUGGAUUAAAUAUGGAAUUAGAAUUAGGAGAUGAUAAAGACAAAAAAACAGUGUGAUUCCUGUUGUCAUAGAUUGAACAUCUUUGAAUGUGUUUUUUAUUUGGGAUCAUUAAACGUGCAUUGUAUAUGUAAUCAGGAAAUGUGCUUUUUAUAACUGAUCCUUUAGUACAUAUCUUGUAAGUGAAUAUUAAGUGUGUAUUGUAUAUGUGAUUAUAGAGUGUUUAUUAAGUGAUCAUUAAGUGUGUAUUGUAUAUGUGAUUAUAGAGUGUUUAUUAAGUGAUCAUUAAGUGUGUAUUGUACAUGUGAUAAUCAAGUGUGUAUGUAUUAAGUGAUCAUUAAGUAUGUGUGUUAUUUAUAUGUUAAAAAAUAAAAAGAGGGGUGGAAUGUAUGUCAAUGAGACCGCAACCCAUUGACACAAAAAUCCAAAAUGUCUAGAACUCAACAGUAUUUAACAAAAGACAAGACAGGUGUAUAUACUGUAAAUCCCCCUGAAUCUAAAUGGUUGUGAUAACUGUAACAAAGACUUUCCAUUAAUAUAGAAGACUGGAAAACAUACAUUUUAGAUAACCAGGCUUCCUCUUUUAUUCCCAAUCAAGAUGUAUAAUAGAUGCUACACCAUUACAGGAAAAUAAUUUAACUCUAUAAUACUAAGGUGAUUAUUAAACUCCAUUUGAUUUCUGAAUGUGUAUGGUACAUGUAAUCAUCAGUGCAUACUUGUUAAUUCUACCUACGGUCCAUGUAAUCAUCAGUGCAUACUUUAUAAUUCUACCUACUGUCAGUUUGUUGUCUGUUAUAUUUUUGUUGUCAUUCAACUAGAAAUAUGUACCCAUAUUGAAUAUUGUCAACUAUUUUGAAUGAAUAUAAUUGCAAAUUUAGUACACUGAGGUAAAAAUAAUUACGAUGAUCUUUUUUUUUUUCGACAAGAAAAGGGAUGGGCUUAUCUCGCCCCAAUAACACAAAAAUAUAACAAAAGAGGGACUUUAACAGGUUUGGUCUCAUAUAGCCUUUAUUUUAUUUAUUUAAUUUUCUCAAUUUGAAAUAGUGUUUUUUAGCCACUUCUUCAAUGUUCAGCUUUCUUUCCUCUGUAUAUAAGAAAUUCCUCUUGUCUUGUACAUCUAGCCAGUGAUCAUGACUUCUUUUGAUGGCAUUGUAGAAAUCUGGGUCUUUUUCUUUCUCGAUCAUUUUGUAUGGAUACAGCUUAUCCUAGUAGACUAGAAUAAAACUGUUUUCUUUUUCAACCUCGAACAGGAAGGUCUGUUGUGGUAGAUCUAGUGUUAUCUUUCCUACCCUGAUUCGUGAAGUUGGUUGAGAUGUUUCCAUUCCUGCAGGAUUUGCUGAAGGUUGACCCUCAGCACCUGUUGUGCAGGGGGGAUCCUUUUGUGGUGUACAGGGUAGUUUUCUGUUGUCGUCGAGUACUGUGACUACCGGUUGUUCCUGUGUAGUCAUUUCCUCUGUAGGUUUUGCGGUAUAUUCUCCCUUCUCUUCGGUGUUAUUGGUUGAAUCUACAUUGGGGUCAUUUUUCUAGACAUUUUUGAGAGGGUUCUCCGUUCUCAAUUGUCGAUGGUGUGGACUUCUUAGCUAUAAAAGCUUCUAGGCGGCGUUUAUUCCUGUCUGUUUUCGCUUUUGAUGACCUUUUCCAUGUUUUUGGAAAUGUAGGCGACUCGUUCUGCUCUUCUUGUUGCCUGGACUUUUUCCGUCUUAUUACUAGUUUGUAAUCUCCAUUCCUAGCUGAGAGAUCCCAGUUGGCGGUUUGAUGUUCAAGUGAGUGUAUACUGGUAAAGAUAUCUCCAGUCAAUAGUGAAGGUGAGCAUGACUCACUGCUCGCUGUCAUAACGAUUCACCUCAUCCUGACAUGUUACAUGUGACUAAUUACGAUGAUCUUUAUUGAAUAUUAGAUGCUCAAUACUGUCAAGGUCAAGAUUAUUGAAUAUUAGAUGCUCAAUACUUACAAGGUCAAGAUUAUUGAAUUUUAGAAGUACAAUACUGCCAAGGUCAAGAUUAUUGAAUAUAAGAAGCUCAAUACUGCCAAGGUCAAGAUUAUUGAAUAUUAGAAGCUCAAUACUGUCAAGGUCAAGAUUAUUGAAUAUUAGAAGCUCAAUAGAGCCAAGGUCAAGAUUAUUGAAUAUUAGAAGCUCAAUACUGUCAAGGUCAAGAUUAUUGAAUAUUAGAAGCUCAAUACUGUCAAGGUCAAGUUUAUUGAGUAUUAGAAGCUCAGUACUGCCAAGGUCAAGAUCACCAUUACUAGAAAAGGAGUGAAACUCAUUAUACCAAUAAGCUUUUUCUUGCUAGAAAUGAGUUUAUGUUGUGCAUCUAUAAUUUUUCAUGCGAUUCAUUAUUGUAAAGGUACAUGAUUGCUUUGAUGCAAGUCCUAAUACUUUAUUUCUAGAAGACUUCUGUAGGACAGUCUAGGAGGUUCUAUCAUGACAGUCAAUAUUGAAGUAACUUAGUUAAGGAUAAAUUUGAUUGGAGGCAAUAAUGCUUCUUUGAAUUCAAAUGUUUUACUUAGAAUAUAAUGCCAUAAAGAGAAAAAUGUAACAUUAUCAUAAUAUUCACAGUCACACUUAUUGAUGUUUAAAACAAAAUGCAACAAGUACUUAAUAAAUGCAAUGAUUUUAUUAUAAUUUGUUACCAGUUAUAGAUUUUUAUCAUGUAUUUGUUAAGGAAGAAGCAUGAACUAUUGUGUAAAGAUGAUAAGAAAAUUAUUAAAAUUAUUUAUGUUA